UGACCAUUCAUAUCUCCAAAGGAACAAUUCUGGCCAUGCUAUACAGGUUACUACUUUGAUUUUACCAAUUUCUGCAUGCGGGGAUUUCCCGAUUUCCGGACUUGACAAUAGAUUUUCACGAUGAUCUAAUUUAUUUUUAAUUUCUAUCAGGUUAAUGAACAUCUUUUGCACGAAGCCAUCGACGAAACGAACAACCAUGUACGUGCUCUCUCGCUGAUUGUGGAUCACGUUGUUUUCGUCACGGAACUGUGGAUCCAUGGCAUGCCCUCGGCAUGAUGAAGAAAAGUUACCCUGGGGCCAAAGUAAUAGUGAUCAAGGUACUGCUCAUUGUGCGAACAUGUAUGCACCAUCUGAAAAUGACUCGCAAGAGUUGAGGCAGGCUCGCGUAGAGAUUUCAGAAGUUCUUGGUUCUUGGCUCAGUGAAGGUCAUCGCUUGAAUUCUGAAUCAAGAUAGACAUUGCAUUUUAAGCGAUUUCAGAAUGAAACCGUCAAUGUCACACCAUGCCUACAACUGAGAGAGCAAAGUUCUCGAUACGCCAAAAGAUAUUGGGGAUCACGAAUCAGUGCUAACCGUGGCUAAUACAAAUUAGCGCAAAAAAGCAGGGGCCUAAGAGUCUUCCAUUCUCAAAUUUUGAUGAUAUAGCCAUGAUUCAUAAUCGUGACAUGAUUCCCUACUCCCUGGUCGAAUAUAUAUGCCGAUGGCUGAAGGUGAAAAAUGGCGUAUCUCAGAUUGCGAUGUUAUAAAGUCUACGCUCAUGUUCAUUAUUUUGAAGGAAAACUAGCCAAUAGUUUUUUUAAAUUUUCUGAAAAUUUUCCCCUUUUAUUCUGAAAUUAUCGCACAAAAUCGUAAGUAGAUUUCCCGAUCAGCUUUCCUUAGGGAAAAUAAAACAUAAUCGGAGAUUUUCGAACGUGGCAAUGAAGAUACAAUUUUUUUCGCAUUUGGUCAUCGACGCAGAUGAACACAUGGUUUGUGAUAAAAAAAGUAGUUUUUCUCUCCGAGACCCACCUGCCUCGCAACGAAUGGGGCCAUGACGCCUACAGAUUAGGCCACCAGUGCUUUGCAGAUUUUACCACAUGUUUUUUUCAAUGAAAUCUCAGUAGAUAAGGACGAUCCAAAAUGAACACUACAAUAUAGCUAUUCCACUGUCGCGGAACCAAACAUGUUGCGAAUUGAAUUAAAUGAAUGCAAUAGAUUGUAAAUCAAACAUUAAAUAAAAUAUUAGAAAUAAUUUGUUUCAAGUUGUUCGUCUAUUUUUCCUUUUUCAUUUAGAAAUAGAAAUAUUAAGGUCGAUAUCUACAUUCUACAUCGAUGAUGCAACUAUGAAAUCACUAGGCUUGGUUUGCAACGUUGCAGAUUGUCUCCAUGUGCAUUUGCGUUUUCGGAAGAUGACUGCUAAGGAGGGUCAAUGAGUAAGUUUUCCCAUACUAUAGUUUCGUUAGUUUUGAACCGAUUUUGAAUCAUUUUAGACUUGAAUAGAUCUGAAAACUGCUUAAUUAUCAGUCACUUUUUGCCCGACAUAAAUCGC
rnacentral:lncRNA from 1 species